rnacentral:rRNA from 1 species
AGCGAACGCUGGCGGCGUGCCUAACACAUGCAAGUCGAACGUGAAAGGGAGCAAUCCCAAGUAAAGUGGCGUACGGGUGAGUAACACGUAGGUAAUCUACCCCAGAAUCUGGAAUAACCGGCCGAAAGGCUGGCUAAUACUGGAUAGAGCGACGGAAUCCGUAAUUGGGUUUUUCGGGAAAGGGAGCCUGUAAAGGCCUUCGUUCUGGGAUGAGCCUGCGUCCCAUCAGCUAGUUGGUGAGGUAAAAGCUUACCAAGGCAAUGACGGGUAGCUGGUCUGAGAGGACGAUCAGCCACACUGGAACUGAAACACGGUCCAGACUCCUACGGGAGGCAGCAGUGGGGAAUCUUGCGCAAUGGACGAAAGUCUGACGCAGCAACGCCGCGUGAGUGAAGAAGGCCUUCGGGUUGUAAAGCUCUGUCGAGUGGGACGAAAAUGCUUGGAGUUCACAGCUCCAGGAACUGACGGUACCACUAAAGGAAGCACCGGCUAACUCCGUG